GACGAACGCUGGCGGCGUGCUUAACACAUGCAAGUCGAACGGAAAGGCCCUGCUUUUGUGGGGUGCUCGAGUGGCGAACGGGUGAGUAACACGUGAGUAACCUGCCCUUGACUUUGGGAUAACUUCAGGAAACUGGGGCUAAUACCGGAUAGGAGCUCCUGCUGCAUGGUGGGGGUUGGAAAGUUUCGGCGGUUGGGGAUGGACUCGCGGCUUAUCAGCUUGUUGGUGGGGUAGUGGCUUACCAAGGCUUUGCCGGGUAGCCGGCCUGAGAGGGUGACCGGCCAAAUGGGGAUGGAGAAACGGCCCAAACCCCUAGGGGGGGAAGGGGGGGGGAAUAUUGCAAAAGGGGGGGAAGCAGGAUGCAGCAACGCCGGGGGGGGGAAGACGGCCUUCGGGUUGGAAACCGCUUUCCCCUGGGACGAAGCGUGGGUGACGGGAAUGGUGAAAGAAGCACCGCCAAACUACGU
rnacentral:rRNA from 1 species